rnacentral:rRNA from 1 species
AUUGAACGCUGGCGGCAGGCCUAACACCUGCAAGUCGAGCGGAGCGGCGGACGGGUGAGUAAUGUCUGGGUAACUGCCUGAUGGAGGGGGAUAACUACUGGAAACGGUAGCUAAUACCGCAUACUAAUAGAUGCGCCUACGUCGGAUUCGCUAGUUGGUGGGGUAAAGGCCUACCAGGACGACGAUCGGUCGCGGGUCUGAGAGGAUGAUCCGGCACACUGGGACUGAGACACGGGCCAGACUCCUACGGAAGGCAGCAGUGGGGAAUAUGGGACAAUGGGGGGAACCCUGAGCAAGCCAGGCCGCGUGUGGGAAGAAGGCCUUAUGGUUGAAAAGCACUGUAAGCGAGGAGGCGGUAUUCGCAGAAGAAGCACCGGCUAACUCCGUGCCAGCAGCCGCGGUAAUAC